rnacentral:rRNA from 1 species
UACAGAGGGGGCAAGCGUUGUUCGGAAUUACUGGGCGUAAAGGGUGCGUAGGCGGAUUUCUAAGUCAGGGGUGAAAUCCUGGAGCUCAACUCCAGAACUGCCUUUGAUACUGGGAAUCUCGAGUCCGGGAGAGGUGAGUGGAACUGCGAGUGUAGAGGUGAAAUUCGUAGAUAUUCGCAAGAACACCAGUGGCGAAGGCGGCUCACUGGCCCGGUACUGACGCUGAGGUGCGAAAGCGUGGGGAGCAAACAGG